rnacentral:rRNA from 1 species
CCUACGGGGGGCAGCAGUGGGGAAUAUUGCACAAUGGGGGAAACCCUGAUGCAGCAACGCCGCGUGAGCGAUGAAUGCCUUCGGGUCGUAAAGCUCUGUCCUAAGGGAAGAAUACUGACGGUACCUCAGGAGGAAGCCCCGGCUAACUACGUGCCCGCAGCCGCGGUAAUACGUAGGGGGCUAGCGUUAUCCGGAAUUACUGGGCGUAAAGGGUGCGUAGGCGGCCCUUCAAGUCAGAGGUGAAAGGCUACGGCUCAACCGUAGUAAGCCUUUGAAACUGUAGGGCUUGAGUGUAGGAGAGGAGAGCAGAAUUCCCAGUGUAGCGGUGAAAUGCGUAGAUAUUGGGAGUAUCACUAGUUGCGAAGGCGGCUCUCUGGACUGUAACUGACGCUGAGGCACCAAAGCGUGGGGAUCAAACAGGAUUAGAUACCCUAGUAGUC